ACCUGGGUGGCUCAGCAGGUUAAGCAUCUGUCUUUGGCUCAGGUCAUGAUCUCGUAGUUCAUGGGUUUGAGCCCCAUUUCAGGCU
rnacentral:tRNA from 1 species